rnacentral:rRNA from 1 species
GACAUGCAAGUGGUAGGAAGCCGAAAGGUGACCGACCCUUCGGGAGCUUGCACAGGUGCUGCAUGGCUGUCGUCAGCUCGUGUCGUGAGAUGUUCGGUUAAGUCCGCUAACGAGCGCAACCCUCGCUGUGUGUUAUAUGUGUCACACGGGACUGCCGGUCUUAAGCCGGAGGAAGGUGGGGAUGAUGUCAAGUCAGCAUGGCCUUUAUAUCCUGGGCUACACACACGCUACAAUGGCCAACACAAUAGGUUGCUAAGCCGCGAGGUGGCGCCAAUCCAGCAAAACUUCCCUCAGUUCAGAUUGCAGGCUGCAACUCGCCUGCAUGAAGAUGGAGUUGCUAGUAACCGCAGGUCAGCUAUACUGCGGUGAAUACGUUCCCGGGGCCUU